rnacentral:rRNA from 1 species
CUUGUACACACCGCCCGUCACACCGGAUGGGAGCGGGUUCUGCCAGAAGUAGUUAGCCUAACCGCAAGGAGGGCGAUUACCACGGCAGGGUUCGUGACUGGGGUG